rnacentral:rRNA from 1 species
GACGAACGCUGGCGGCGUGCUUAACACAUGCAAGUCGAACGGUAAGGCCCUUCGGGGUACACGAGUGGCGAACGGGUGAGUAACACGUGGGUGAUCUGCCCUGCACUUCGGGAUAAGCCUGGGAAACUGGGUCUAAUACCGGAUAGGACCACUGCCUGCAUGGGUGGUGGUGGAAAGCUUUUGCGGUGUGGGAUGGGCCCGCGGCCUAUCAGCUUGUUGGUGGGGUGAUGGCCUACCAAGGCGACGACGGGUAGCCGGCCUGAGAGGGUGACCGGCCACACUGGGACUGAGAUACGGCCCAGACUCCUACGGGAGGCAGCAGUGGGGAAUAUUGCACAAUGGGCGCAAGCCUGAUGCAGCGACGCCGCGUGAGGGAUGACGGCCUUCGGGUUGUAAACCUCUUUCAGCACCGACGAAGCGCAAGUGACGGUAGGUGCAGAAGAAGGACCGGCCAACUACGUGACAGCCGCCGCUGUAAUAC